GAAAGCAUGAGACAGAGCUGGGAUAGCUCGUAAAGCACGUGCCAGCGGGAAGAGGGUGAUGUUGAACAGAAGAGGGGACAAGACAGAGCCUUGGGGGGUACCCUUGUUGCCAAGGGAGAAGGAAGGAGAAGAAAGUGGGCCGUAUGAGAUUUCGGCUGUGCGGUGGGCGAGGAACGCAGUGACGUAAGCAUGGACACGGGGUCCGACAUGGAGGGAGGAGAGAGCGUCCAGGAUGGCGGUGUGGUGUACAUUGUCGAAUGCUUUAGUAAGGUCCAGCGCCAGGAUAGCUCGAGUGCGUUUGUGGUGGGAGGGGUGUAGGACAUCCUCGGAAAGUUGGAGCAUGACAUCCUGGGUGGACAGCUGGGGACGAAAACCGAACAUGGAGUCCGGAUAAAAGUCAUGAUCAUUCAGAUAGGUCUGGAGGCGGGCCAGGAUGACAUGCUCGAACAGCUUGCCGAGACAGGAGGUGAGAGAGAUGGGGCGGAGGUGUUCGAGGGCAAUAGACGACCGCACGCCAAGUUUCAUCCUAGACGCCAGCGCUCGUUUCUCCCCUGGCGGAACGAUUUCAUCUCCAACGGGUGUAGGUUUCCGCCGCCGCUUCCCUUAGCGGUCGCGCCCGCGUUCAGUUCGCGCUGCGCGCGAAACGUCUCUUGUUUGCGAGGGCGCCUCUUCGGAUGACCGGAAAUUAUUAUUGUGUUGUUAACUGUCACGACAGCAAUGUAAACACGAAAUGGUUGAUGCCACCAGUGAAAUUCUGCCGAUUCACAAGAAAAUGGUACGAAAAAAGCAGACGACACACAUGGAUUACUGCGGUGUGCCGAGCGAAGUAAACAACUGGCAAACGAAGCGAGCUCGUUCAUUGAUCACUCCUGAGUGUAUGACGGUUUUUAUAUGUAACCCACAUGAAUUUAAUAAUUACUCGGUACAUAAUCCUUUUAUUCAUAUAAAAACUUUUGUUCGA